CGGCAAUGAUGAUACAAGUAUUUAGUCAUGCACCACUCUGAACAUCUGUGCUGACAAACAAACUUACUACCCAUUAUUCGUCUGAGCCC